rnacentral:tRNA from 1 species
ACUUAAGUAGUUUAAUUUUAGAACAACAAUUUGUGGAUUUGUUGGUGCAAAUAUUGCCUUGGGUU